rnacentral:lncRNA from 1 species
CUUGUCUAACUUUUGCUAAGCUUGCUUUGGAAGCAGAUGUUUGAACCUUUUGCUAAAUUACUUGAAUUUGGAAGUCUGAAUAAAACAUUACUUACAUUUUAAGGUUUUAAUAAAAUUAGUUUUUUAUUAAAAAGACCUAAUUAAACUUAUAAGAAUUUCCCAAAUUGGAACUUUAUAUGUAAUAAAUGAUCUAGCAAGCAGUCAGAUUCAUAUAUAUUUAAUAAAUACAUAGCUUAACUGUGCCCCUUUACUUUUUAAACCAGCAUUUUUAAAUUUAGAAAAGUAGUGAUAUGUAUUUUUCAGACAUAGGAACAUUUUUAGAGAAACGUGUUUUGAAUUAGAGAGAGAAAAAUUCCAAAUUGAUUAACUUUCUACUCUUUUACCUCUCCCUUUAUGAAGAAAGAUUUUUUUGUGGUUCACAUUUGAAUUCUCUCAUUUCGCUGGAUCUUUAAUACAGCCAAAAAUUGUAACAUACUAAGACAUUUGUUUUCUUUUCCUCUUCAAGAUAAAUACUUUAAAGACAUCAAAACAAAAAGUCAUCUGUCUGGUUCUCCCAAAUCUUGUACAAUCCCACAAUACUCUCUAGCCCUCACAGCAUGCUGGUAGGUGAAAUUUGUCUUGACGUUUUUUACUUUGCUAGUUUUAACUCAGCUCCGUGAAGCAUUGAUCUUUUCUUUUCGCUGUCUUAUUGCUUACUAUGGGUAUCCAAAAAUGCGAAAAGAGGGUUGAAAACCCCCGAAAGUGUCACAGUAGAAAACGUGCAAGAGCAUUGGGGAAACAGUCUUCCUUGCUCACGUGUUUGCAUGUGUGUUGGUUUGCUUUUCUUUAAUUCAUAGAGUCUGACUGCAGCGGUCAUGUCUGCCCAUCUCUCUUGAGGCUUAUUUCUCUGAUGUUAAACAUUUCAGCUCCUUGAAUGUGUGGGGCAUCCUCUAUUUGUAGGUAGAAUCCUGGAACUGGGGAAGUAAUUUGAGGCUAUCUGGUCAUCUUCCCACCUAAUAAGACAAGUGCUUUUAUCAUGCUGAUUCUGCAUGGAGGACAUGGUCUCAUUUUCCCAGGAACUAAAGGCUGCUAUACUGCUUUUGAGUGGCGAACUCGUUUCAUGUUGUCACAGCUUGAUGUCUCUUACAACACAGGGUUGCCUCUCUAGUUGUCCAGGGCCACCCAUCCGGAGCUCAGGCCAUUUAACUCCCUUAACAAGUGGUUCACAUCUCAAGAGCCAGGGUGUGUUGGCUUAGGCUGGAAGGGAAGGUCACCACCCAGCACUCGUUCCCUGUCCAGGCUACAAACUGCUCAUCUGUCUCAUCUAGAGACCAAGCACCCACAUUUGUGGGCUCAUGGAGAGCAGUGUCUCUGGAGACGGGAAGUCCGGUGUCAUAGAUCAGGAGGCAUCAUCUCCAGAGCUAUACAGUGAAGGCAUUUUAGUACAAAGAACAGGGCCACAGGAGGCUGCUUCCUUUAAUAAUAAGGCCAGCAGGAUGGCAUGUUAAACAUAUCCUGUUACUUUAGGGUUCCAAGCAUAUCUGCGUUAGGCACUUGCUGCCUGGGAUUCCAGGAUACAUUUGUCAGGAAAAAGUAAUCAAAAUUCACUCUUUGAGCAGUGAAAAGCUUAUGAUGCUCUAUGGGUUAAGAAUUGAGAAUAUGCUUAGAUUUGAGUUCUAACCUCUGAUUCCUAAUCGUUCAUACAGGAAAGAGACUUGGAAUUCUGUCAUCAUGAUGAAGAGGUGGCAAAAUAGAAACUUGAAGUUGUGUCUGAUUCGUUGGAUAGGUGUUUGUAUAAAGCUCAUCUUUGAUAUGAAGUAGGCUGAGUGGC